UUAAUAGCACGAGACUUAAAGGACAGUGUUGUCUCUGUUACAAAAACACGCACGUUUCAUGUUAAUUGGUGAAGUAACUUUACAUGUGAGAACGAAACACGAUGUACGGGGAGAAUUGGAGCAAUUUGGAAUGCAAAUUUCUAAGUGGUGUUUGCAUCGAGAACUUGGCGUUGGUCGUUGGAUCGCCAGGUACAUAGUUACCAUCCGGCGACUCUUUCGCAUCGAAAAACCUGUUGGAAGCUUCGAAGACGAUGGAACUGGUAUUUCAAUUUCAUAUAGGAUGAAGCAACGAAUCUGGCAAGAAAUAGCGGAUGAUACGUAACGACUGGUACGUUUUACAAGAAAAUACAUAGGAAGACGUGUUAAAUAAAUAGCAGUAACGAGAAAUCACGAAUUUCAGGCUAGGCACGUUGCCUUUGACAAAACUCUGAUCCCAAUUUUCCGUUACGUAAUUCUUUUCGGGUGGUAUAUUAUUAUCUCAUGGUUAAUCUCGUAGGGUGUGCAAAUAGAAUGGAAAAUAUGUAUAGAUCGAUGUGACACCUGGUUGGAUCAGUUGGUCGCUUUAAUCGAUACGUGAACGAGCAUUUUGAAUUAAUAAUUGAUAAUUAUAGCUUAAUUUACGUGGGAUUUACGUGGAAGAUGAGAAGCGCAUAGCUGUGGAUUGCGCUACAAGAUGACGAGUUGCGGACGAAUAAAAUGGUUGGGACAAAGGUAUGAACGAUUAAUCGCAUAACAAGUAGGCUCGCACAAAGAGGCACCUAACUGACCUAUCGAAGAAAAGUUCACUAUCCAGAAUGGAACAGGGAUGCUUUGUCAUUGAAAUAAUUAUAGAAAGCCCACGUUUCAAAGAAGACUUUGUAUUCAUGGCCGCUCCAUAGAAGACUCUUUUAAAUACGUACUUAUAUUUUGUCAAGCAGUCGAGAUAACGAUGUUUAUAAUAUAAUCAAUAAUUAGAUAAUUAACGAUAUACUUCUUAAUGAUAUACUGUUUUAUGUUGAUAAACUUCCUCGUCAGGUCAACGACAAAUAUUUUCGAUUCUAACAAAGUACACACAUAUGUAUUGUACAUAAAUCUCGAAAGAUCUCGACUAUUUUCUCGUCGUCUUUGAACGUUUCUCGGCGGAAAUCAAUUAUUUUUGUUUUCUUUUU